CUUUACUGUAGCCUGGUAUUGGGUUCGGGCUUUGACUGCGCAGGAUAGGUGGGAGACUAUGAAGCUGCCCUUGUGGGGGCAGUGGAGUCAUCAGUGAGAUACCACUCUGUCAAGGCUAGAAUUCUAACCGUCUGCCGUUAUCCGGCGACGGAAAAGUAUCAGGUGGGCAGUUUGACUGGGGCGGUCGCCUCCUAGAUGGUAACGGAGGCGCGCAAAGGUUCCCUCGGGCUGGUUGGAAAUCAGCCGAAGAGUGUAAAGGCAGAAGGGAGCUUGACUGCAAGAGCAACAACUCAAGCAGGGACGAAAGUCGGCCUUAGUGAUCCGACGGCGCUGAGUGGAAGGGCCGUCGCUCAACGGAUAAAAGUUA
rnacentral:rRNA from 1 species